GACAGAGGGAAAACGACAGGCCUUGCCAGGAGGAGAGGGGACGGCAGGAUUCGGCAGGUUCUGGCCGGUGUCACGCCAAAUUUGUGCCCAGCGAAAUAAGUGCUCAGGGAGGGUGUGCGCAUGCAAGCACCUGCGCAGUCCAGUGCGCCAGGCAGUUUUUUGGCAGGGCGGGGUCAUUGACAAACCAACGUGUGUGCAGCGAGAGAGAGAGACCAUCCUAGUAGUGAUUUAGCGAGACUCUGAAGAUUUGGUUAGAGUUAGGGUUAGGGUUACGGUUUUUCUUUUAGCUAACAAUAUCAGCAAAUCCAAGUUUAACUAAUGAGUAUACCUCGUAUGCACUUUCACUGAGGCCACAGGGGCAAUUAUUUGGCAAGCCGUCCCAUACACACUGUAUACAAUAGGGUGGGCAUAUAUUUCGCACAUAAGGCGCUAAAUAUAUGCCCCGACACGCUUGGGCACUCAUUUCGCAGCGAGCACUUAUUUCGCUUUACACCGGGACGGAGAAGAAUCUACAGGCUUUGCCGAGAGCGACCGGGUAGACGCACGCAGGCUGGAAAGGAACCCCCCGGACUACACAGUAGACCCCGCAGGCUACCGGAACGAACCCCAAGACGUCCACAACAGGCAGGGGCAGAGGAAACUUUGCCUCCCAAGUAAAUGCCGUGUAUUGUGGAUCUGUGGGGACAUCCAACUGCCUUGGGCUGUGGGCUUGCGGGCUCGUGCGUUGUACGCUGGCUGUGUGGUUCUGUGGACAGGGGGGCGAUUGGGACCCAGAGACCUGCGGCGACCCCCGGAAGCGGCCGAGAGGCGGAGCGGGACGGGUACGGCCACGUAGGUCCCGCGAGUGACCGGAGACUGACGAGGAGAGUGGGCGUACCCAAUACGUUGACGCAGAACUACAGCAAAGCCCUGCCUUGCGUGAGGACGCCAUGGAAGUGGGCGGAGCCAAGACAUGGACCCACAUGCCUGCCUGUACCCUCGCCCAUCACAUUCGUUACCAUUUUGGUAUUUUAGUCUCGACAACGUGACUGGUUUUAAUUGUAUUUUAACAAAUUGUGAAUCAGUAUAAUCAUCUUUCCUUAUUUUGGGACAGCUGCUCUCACUGCAUUGGGUUCUUAAUAUUUAUAUUGGUUUUAAGCAACAUUUUUAUUAGAUUUUAAUAUUUUACCACUCGGGUCCUUCACGCACCCUUGACUAGUUGUAAGAUUAGAGCUUCUCUUUCUUUCUUUCUCUUCUUCCUUGUGUUGUGCUACGUCCAACUCUACUAACAUUUAAAACUAAAUAUAAUUUUGGGGUUACUUACAAAAACCCACGUCGGCGUUAACAUUUGUACUCAAGACAUCAAAACGAGUCAUUGCUAGCACAUUUGUGACUUUUGCAGAUGACGGAAGAGGAAUGGACGACCAUUUAGACUUUUUAUUCGAUUGUGCAAAAGAGUGCAUGUUGUUAGUUGAGAUACACUAUAUUGCCAAAAGUAUUUGGCCACCUGCCUUGACUCACAUGAACUUCAAGUGCCAUCCCAUUCCUAAUCUAUGGGGUUCAAUAUGAUGUCGGUCCACCUUUUGCAGAUAUUACAGCUUCAACUCAUCUGGGAAGGCUGUCCACAAGCCUACAUACUGUAUGUAUUUUAUGUAUUUGUACCUUGUUUUUACUGUUGUACCUUGUUUUUUCUGUUGUACCUCUUUUUUACUGUUGAACCUUGUUUUUAAUGACAACUGCUGCAAACCAAAUAUCCCCUCGGGGACAAUAAAGAUUUUUUUAAGUCCAA